rnacentral:tRNA from 1 species
GCUUUCGUGGUGCAGUGGUCAGCACGCUUGGCGGACUCAAGAGAUCAGUGGUUCGAGUCCAGGCGAGGGCA